AGAGUUUGAUCAUGGCUCAGAACGAACGCUGGCGGCGUGCUUAACACAUGCAAGUCGAGUGCGCGUCUGUAGCAAUACAGAUGGCGCACGGCGCACGGGUGCGUAACACGUGGGUAAUCUGCCCUUCGAUGGGGAAUAACUCCGGGAAACCGAAGCUAAUUCCGCAUAACAUUCCUUGAACUUCGGUUUGGGGACUCAAAGCCGUAAGGCGUCGGAGGAGGAACCCGCGCACGAUUAGCUAGUUGGUAGGGUAACGGCCUACCAAGGCUUUGAUCGUUAGCUGGUCUGAGAGGAUGGCCAGCCACACUGGAACUGAGACACGGUCCAGACUCCUACGGGAGGCAGCAGUGGGGAAUCUUGCACAAUGGGCGAAAGCCUGAUGCAGCGACGCCGCGUGGGGGAUGAAGCUUUUCGGAGUGUAAACCCCUUUCGACCCGGACGAAUACCUCGUAAGAGGGGUGACGGUACGGGUAUAAGAAGCCCCGGCUAACUACGUGCCAGCAGCCGCGGUAAGACGUGGGGGGCCAGCGUUGUUCGGAAUUACUGGGUGUAAAGGGUCAGUAGGCGGUGUGGCAAGUCGGGAGUGAAAUCUCUGGGCUCAACCCAGAGACUGCUUCCGAAACUGCUAUGCUAGAGUGUGGGAGAGGCGCGUGGAAUUGCAGGUGUAGCGGUGAAAUGCGUAGAUAUCUGCAGGAACACCCGUGGCGAAAGCGGCGCGCUGGACCACAACUGACGCUGAAUGACGAAAGCUAGGGGAGCAAACAGGAUUAGAUACCCUGGUAGUCCUAGCCCUAAACGAUCAGGACUUGGGGUGCCGCACGUUCGUGCGUCGUCCCGGAGCUAACGCGUUAAGUCCUGCACCCUGGGGAGUACGGUCCGCAAGACUGAAACUCAAAGGAAUUGACGGGGGCCCCGCAAAAGCGGUGGGACAUGUUGUUCAAUUCGACGCUAC
rnacentral:rRNA from 1 species